rnacentral:misc_RNA from 1 species
GCAAACUUGGUCAUUUAGAGGAAGUAAAAGUCGUAACAAGGUCUCCGUUGGUGAACCAGCGGAGGGAUCAUUACCGAGUUUCCAAAACUCCCAACCCAUGUGAACUUACCUCUCGUUGCCUCGGCGGGAUCGCCCCGGGUGCCCCAGGCCCCGGACCCAGGCGCCCGCCGCAGGACCCCAAACUCUUGUUUAGUGGAAGCUUCUUCUGAGUGAGAAAACAAAUAAAUCAAAACUUUCAACAACGGAUCUCUUGGUUCUGGCAUCGAUGAAGAACGCAGC